GUUGAAGAACGUAGCGAAAUGCGAUAAGUAGUGUGAAUUGCAGAAUUCAGUGAAUCAUCGAAUCUUUGAACGCACAUUGCGCCCUUUGGUAUUCCUUAGGGCAUGCCUGUUCGAGCGUCAUUUAAACCUUCAAGCUAAGCUUGGUGUUGGGUGACUGUCCGCUUCACGGCGGACUCGCCUCAAAAUUAUUGGCGGCCGGUACAUUGGCUUCGAGCGCAGCAGAAACGCGAACUCGGGCCCGUCGUAUUGGCUCCCAGAAGCUAUCUUCACAAUUUUGACCUCGGAUCAGGUAGGGAUACCCGCUGAACUUAAGCAUAUCAAUAAGCGGAGGA
rnacentral:misc_RNA from 1 species